GAAAUAUAAUGCUUAGUCUACUUAGUGUAUUGCCCGUAAAUAUAUACGAAUAGAAUAUAAUUCAAGGCAUAUUUAAACCGAGAAAUCGCAACAACAUCAAAAAAAUGAUUUGCAUAAAACGCUGUAUACAAUGCCUUAUGUUUGUUUUGUUGUUCUUAUCGAUGACGCAGCCAACACUACAACAAAAUAAUUCAACAAAAUUAAAUCGUCAAUCGCGGAUUUCAAUUAAAAUCAAGCAAAAAUCUUAAAAGGAAAAAGUUUGGAUGGAAUCUUCACACUCAACACAAUGGAUUCCGCUAAAACUGUAGAAAUUAAUUAGUUGUGUGCUCGAAAUCGUGACUACACCAGAAGCGCGGAAAUGGCUAAAUCGACUCAGAACAUUAACCUUCGGUUUGCAUUUUAGAUUAUUCACAUUAUUGGUCUACUAAUUAUACCCUACACCACCACAUGCAACACCCAGAAGGGAAAGAGGAAGACCCAUUGAUAAGUAUACCGAUGGACUUAGAAUUCGGGCCUCGGAUACGUCCACCAAAAUGAUUUAGUCGAAAAAAAAAAAUUUUUAAUUAAAUUUAUUCCAAACAAAAAAUCAGUAGUAACCUUUCUUAAAAUGACAGAAUUUCAUAUUUUUAAUAUUCACCCAAGGCAAAAUUUUGCUGAGGCCGAAGCCGCUAUAAAAUCAUUUUGCUUAAGGACAAAAUUGUAA
rnacentral:sRNA from 1 species